rnacentral:rRNA from 1 species
CCUACGGGGGGCAGCAGUGAGGAAUAUUGGUCAAUGGUCGGGAGACUGAACCAGCCAAGCCGCGUGAGGGAUGAAGGUACAGAGUAUCGUAAACCUCUUUUGUCAGGGAACAAAGGCGGGGACGUGUCCCCGGAUGCGUGUACCUGAAGAAAAAGCAUCGGCUAACUCCGUGCCAGCAGCCGCGGUAAUACGGAGGAUGCGAGCGUUAUCCGGAUUUAUUGGGUUUAAAGGGUGCGCAGGCGGUCUGUUAAGUCAGCGGUUAAAGGCCGGGGCUCAACCCUGGCCCGGCCGUUGAAACUGGCAGUCUCGAGUUGAGUAGAGGUAUGCGGAAUGCGCGGUGUAGCGGUGAAAUGCAUAGAUAUCGCGCAGAACUCCGAUUGCGAAGGCAGCAUGCCGGCUCCACACUGACGCUGAGGCACGAAAGCGUGGGUAUCGAACAGGAUUAGAUACCCCGGUAGUC